UCAACUGUAAGGAAGCACAAUAACCGACCACUCAGGUCAACUAGGAUGGGACAACAUCGACAUCCUCUCAAACAUAUGAAAAUACUGCUCAAUGAACCACAAGGACUGACCACUCAGAUCAACUAGGAUAUGAAACUCGACCAAUCAUGUCACAAGUAUAGGAUAUGAAACUCGACCAAUCAUGUCACAAGUAUAGGAUAUGAAACUCGACCAAUCAUGUCACAAGUAUAGGAUAUGAUGCACUGACCGACUAGGUCACAAACAUGUCAAAUAGUGAAUAUGAGUAAAGUAUAAUCAUCCGUCGGCAACUAACCGACAAUCCUACCCCUCAGGGUAUACCGACCUCAACGGUCAUCAGACAACAAAGGUCGAGGAACUCACUGAAUAGGUCACAAAUACUGAAUACUAGAAUCGACCGACUAGAUCGCUGAUCUCACAGAUAAUCACGGAAUCGCUCUACUAUAAACACGAAUUAGGGUAUGGAGAAUAGCUAAGUAGAGCAACAAGGAAACAUGGUAUCACAUACAGAUAGACUAUACUCCUACACAUGAUACUAAGCAUGGAAACGUCUGAGUAGAGUAAAAUCAAACAACGUGGGUGUAAUAUAAACAAUAGAGGUGCAAAGCUCAACAUAUAAUAUAUGCAUGGGUAAUAACAAAAGAGCAAGGGUAAGAAACCAUCACCGAGCGUGCACCACUGUACCAACGUCGGAUCGAAGUACCCACCUGUACAACUGUCGCACCUGUCUCCUGACUGCAAAAGAACAUCAACAGGACCUAAGGAGGGUCCACUGGGUUAGUGUCUAACCCACAACUAAGAAACCCUAAAAGCAUAACCCCAUAAAUAAACCAUUGAAUACACAACCCACAAAAAUCCCACGGAGAUCGGUUUCCCAAAACCGAUUACCGAACAAAACGGAAGUCCCAAAAACCGCACCGAGACUCUGCUGGGACCCACGGACUGUCCCGGAACUCACCGACUCGUACUACGAGUCACCCGCUGCCACUAAAUACAAUUUACAUGUGACUUGGCAGCAAAGACCUUAACUCACUCCAAAACGAUUAUCGUCGGAUAAUCGUUCCGAACCGGGUUCCCGGAAGUGUCUAUUUCGACACCGGAACUAGGGGUGUAAAACGGGCCAGGCGGCACGUGGGCCGCCCGGCCCGGCACGGCCUCGGGCCGGGCUACAGCACGGCACGGAUACUGUAGCAUCCGUGCCGGGCCGGCCCGGCCCGAGCCUUCGGGUCGUGCUGGGCCGCUCAUAUGUAGCCCGACGGCCCGGCACGGCACGGCCCGAUACGGGCCUGGGCCGUGCCGGGCCGAGGGGAGGCGGGCGGCCCGGCACGGCACGGCCCGUUUGGGCCGUGCCAGCCGAGCCAGCACGGCCCGGGCCCUCAAGGCCCGAGGCAA
rnacentral:lncRNA from 1 species